rnacentral:rRNA from 1 species
AUUGAACGCUGGCGGAAUGCUUUACACAUGCAAGUCGAACGGUAGAGGGGGCAACCCCUCGAGAGUGGCGAACGGGGGAGUAAUAUAUCGGAACGUGCCCAGGCGUGGGGGGUAAAGUAGCGAAAGUUACGCUAAUACCGCAUACGAUCUAAGGAUGAAAGCGGGGGAUCGCAACACCUCGCGCGUUUGGAGCGGCUGAUAUCAGAUAGGGUAGUUGGUGGGGUAAAGGCUCAGCAAGCCAACGAGCUGUAGCUGGUCUGAGAGGACGACCCACCACACUGGAACUGGGGCACGGUCCAGACUCUUACGGGAGGCAGCAGUGGGGAAUUUUGGAGAAUGGAGGCAAGUCUGAUCCAGACAUUCCGCGUGCAGGAUGAAGGCCCUCGGGUUGUAAACUGCUUUUGUACGGAACGAAAAGGUCUCUCUUAAUACGGGGGACUCAUGACGGUACCGUAAGAAUAAGCACCGGCUAACUACGUGCCAGCAGCCGCAGUAACAC